GUCGAACGGCAGCACAGAGGAGCUUGCUCCUUGGGUGGCGAGUGGCGGACGGCUGUAUGAUACAUCGGAAUCUACUUUUUCGUGGGGGAUAACGUACGCGUACUUACGCUAAUACCGCAUACGACCUACGGGUGAAAGCAGGGGACCUUCGGGCCUUGCGCGAUUGAAUGAGCCGAUGUCGGAUUAGCUAGUUGGCGGGGUAAAGGCCCACCAAGGCGACGAUCCGUAGCUGGUCUGAGAGGAUGAUCAGCCACACUGGGACUGAGACACGGUCCAGACUCCUACGGGAGGCAGCAGUGGGGAAUAUUGGACAAUGGGCGCAAGCCUGAUCCAGCCAUACCGCGUGGGUGAAGAAGGCCUUCGGGUUGUAAAGCCCUUUUGUUGGGAAAGAAAUCCAGCCGGCUAAUACCUGGUUGGGAUGACGGUACCCAAAGAAUAAGCACCGGCUAACUUCGUGCCAGCAGCCGCGGUAAUACGAAGGGUGCAAGCGUUACUCGGAAUUACUGGGCGUAAAGCGUGCGUAGGUGGUUGUUUAAGUCUGUUGUGAAAGCCCUGGGCUCAACCUGGGAACUGCAGUGGAAACUGGACAACUAGAGUGUGGUAGAGGGUAGCGGAAUUCCCGGUGUAGCAGUGAAAUGCGUAGAGAUCGGGAGGAACAUCCAUGGCGAAGGCAGCUACCUGGACCAACACUGACACUGAGGCACGAAAGCGUGGGGAGCAAACAGGAUUAGAUACCCUGGUAGUCCACGCCCUAAACGAUGCGAACUGGAUGUUGGGUGGCAUUUUGGCACGCAGUAUCGAAGCUAACGCCGUUAAUUCGCCGCCUGGGGAGUACGGUCGCCAGACUGAAA
rnacentral:rRNA from 1 species